CCUACGGGGUGCAGCAGUGAGGAAUAUUGGUCAAUGGCCGAGAGGCUGAACCAGCCAAGUCGCGUGAGGGAAGAAUGUCCUAUGGAUUGUAAACCUCUUUUGUCAGGGAGCAAAGUCACCCACGUGUGGGUGUUGGAGAGUACCUGAAGAAAAAGCAUCGGCUAACUCCGUGCCAGCAGCCGCGGUAAUACGGAGGAUGCGAGCGUUAUCCGGAUUUAUUGGGUUUAAAGGGUGCGUAGGCGGGCUGUUAAGUCAGCGGUCAAAUGUCGGGGCUCAACCCCGGCCUGCCGUUGAAACUGGCGGCGUAGAGUGGGCGAGAAGUAUGCGGAAUGCGUGGUGUAGCGGUGAAAUGCAUAGAUAUCACGCAGAACUCCGAUUGCGAAGGCAGCAUACCGGCGCCCGACUGACGCUGAGGCACGAAAGCGUGGGUAUCGAACAGGAUUAGAUACCCCAGUAGUC
rnacentral:rRNA from 1 species